rnacentral:misc_RNA from 1 species
GGUUCCAUGAAAGGGUCUGCAGCAACAAUCUCUGACGACAUUAUUCAAUUCACCCUUUGUAAAUUGGCCUGGAGUGUUUGUUUUGGGCUAUGAUUGACUCCCUCCUCAAGGCACUUGAAUUCUACUCAGUCGCUCCAAGGCACUAAUGAGGGUUCCGGGACUUGGAAUCGCCGCACUAAUCUUGGUUUGAUUUGAAAUUUGAAAUUUUAACUCGGCAAUACAUUGUGAUGAUCACAGAAUUGCCUAAAAAGGAAUCAAACCCAACUUCUAUGUAGAAAAU